UACGAAGGGGGCGAGCGUUGUUCGGAAUUACUGGGCGUAAAGGGCGCGUAGGCGGCGAUCCGAGUCAGAUGUGAAAGUCCUGGGCUUAACCUGGGGACUGCAUUUGAUACUGGAUUGCUUGAAUGCAGGUGAGGAUAGCGGAAUUCCCAGUGUAGAGGUGAAAUUCGUAGAUAUUGGGAAGAACACCGGUGGCGAAGGCGGCUAAUCUGGACAGUUCCUGACACUGAGACACGAAGGCCGAGGGGAGCAAACGGG
rnacentral:rRNA from 1 species